rnacentral:lncRNA from 1 species
UGAGGACCCAAACGGUCAGUGCCGAUGGACCUCCAGCCACCAUAGCCUGCGACCUCGACGAAAUCCGGGGAUCCCCAACCCCGCUGGCUCCUAGACGAAAGCAAAAGCCUCGCCUGACCGUGAACGGAGCCCGGAGAAACUUAUUCCGACGCGACACCACCGCAACGGCCUCGGCAGCGUCUCCCUCAACCCUAACCCUACGACACACCCACCUAGCGAACAGACCCGAGAUUCCCCCUCCCUCCCGCCGCCGGAGCGACCGACGGAGAGAGAUUUAUUUCUUCAUAAACUCCGGCCUACACUACAUAGUUGUGCCGCCGCCUUCGUUAGGCCACGUACACUAUCGUUUUAUCGGUUUUUAGUAUUGGAUAUGACAGCUCUAGCCAUCCAUUUUCCACACCUAUUCCUCCACAAGAUCCAAAGUGUGCCGUGCCGACUGCCGCCUAGCUCACAUGACACAAACCAAACUUUUGAACUUCGAGAUGGAAGCUAGGGCGCAUCGACCGGCGAGGCGAGAAAGAUAAGGCAGGCUAGCUUGUUUUGUGCGAAUAAUUGGCCAGCCAAGGAAAUAAUAUCCUUCCACUCCAUACUACUCUAUAUAGAUAUGCAUGCCGUCAUUAACAACACAUGCAUGUGCUUGGGCAAAUUAGUGGAUAGGACAUGCAAGGCUCUUGUUUAACAUGACAUUGGCCAAGAAAUUCUUAGUAUUUCAGACGACCACGGCAAUAUGGGUGGUCCAUCCCGAGAACACGACAGCUGAUCAGAGUAGAUGCUUCUGGUAAGAAGAUGGCAUAUAUAAUUGAUGAUCGGCCAGCGUUGUCCAGAGCAAGCAACAAGGUACGUAAUAAUCCGUUGAGCAUGUGUGUGUGUGUGAGUGCGACCUAGGCGAGAGUUUGUGUUGUGCAAGCAUGUGCUAAGCAUAUUACGCCUGCAUGCUACGCGCCAAUCGGACGAGGAGAUGGCAUAUGCUCCACGAUAAUGCCACCGUAUUCGGUCAAGCUAAAAUGCUUGAAGUGUGGUGCUUGUUGUAUAUGUAUACAUACUUGGCGUUGGCGAUAGGUUUGGUGUGGGUACAUUAGUUUUUGGAGUGAGUAUGCUUCCAUGGUGCUUGCCCGCGCUUUAUCGCGAGAGGGACUUUCUCCGAGUGGUCCGUGCCACUAAAAACCGAUAAAAUAUCCUCCGUUGACGUACGCUAAGGUCUUGUUCGGCACUGGUUCUUGGAAAAUGAAGUUUUGUACUUCCACUUGAUUUGACAUUCUUUUUUCCUUUGUACCUCCCACUUGAUUGGCACUAUCCAGUUGCGCAUCUCCGAAUCUAAAAUCACAUGCAACUUUUGAAUGAGAAAAUAUCUACUCCCUAUUAUAAUAUAAGAACAUUGUUGACACUAGCUAUGGUUUGUAUUGAAAUAUCUAAAGAUACUUAUAUUUAGAAACGGAGGGAGUAUUUGUGGUUUUCUUGGUUGUAGUUUGGACACUCCAGUAAGAUCUAAAACCUCAAACCUUGACAUAUACUCUCUUCGUUCCUAUAUAUAAAUAUAUUUAAAGAUUCCAAUAGGAGACUAAAUACGGAGCAAAAUGAGUGAAUUUACACUCUAAAAUAUGUCUAUAUGCAUAUGUAUGUAGUUUGUAUUGAAAUAUCUAAAAAUACUUAUAUUUAGAAAUGAAGUGAGUAUUUGUUAAAUUGUCGACCAGUUUUGGCUCGGACACUCCAUUAAGAAAAUAUUUGACUAUUUUUUAAUACUUUUCAGUGGAAACAACGCUUUUCUAGAGAGUCUGCACUAAAAUGUCAUUUUGCUUGACUUCGUUAGUUGGGCUGAAAUGUUGGCUUAAUCAGGUUGUGGCGCGGUGUAAACUAAACCAAACUUCGGAAGUUAAAUAAGAGACCUCACUAGAUUUCUUGAACUCGUUUGCUAUCUGCAAGAACAGAAAGCUGCUCAUGGCUUGGCAGAUUUGGCAUCUGCUUUGUGCGAAGGGAAGGUGGUUUCAGCGGAUUUCCAUCCGUGCGGUAUUUUGGACCAUAUUUGUCUAUGUACGCAUGGUACGACUGUACGAGGGACGGUCAAUUUUGUCAGGCGGUCUACCCCAGGUUUCCUUAGGGAAAAAGGAUGAAGGAUUUCAUGGCGUGCAAGGCAAGAAGACCAAGAUGGAGGAUGACAGGCAAAGACCAAGACCUAUAUGUGUAAAGAAGUCCGAUCAAGACGAAGGCGAUCUCCGCAUUCACCCGAAGCCACCUUUGGCGUAGGGUCGUUAAGCGUUUGUUUGCCGCUCAAUCAUGGGCUCUUUGGCCAACCUAGGGACGGAGCUACCUUGUAUGCACUGCGGUCAAUUGACUACAAUGAAAUUACAAAAUCCUUCACUAAUUUAAUACUAAUUAAUGUUUAUUUAUAGAAGAUGACCCCACUAUCAUAGAAAUGACCCCGAUUAGCCGCUUGCUGGCUGCGGAGGCGGAGAUUCAUUUUCUGGGGCUCAUGACCGGCUGGACACGGGGAAUCGGGGUCGGCGGUCAUUUAGACUAGGUUUAGAGUACGGUUUAAUUGAAAUGUGUAGAAAUGUAAAGUGUCUGCUCCGGUUUAGAUGAAAAGCAUCCACUUUUCGUAAAAAUUAUCCAAGUAUGAAUGAAUAUCGUCUGGUUUGUUUAAAAAAAAAUAUACAAGUAUGCAUAACCGGGCAUUUGCGGCUAUAGUUGGCUCCGACAUCAGUGUCCGUGGACUAGUACCCCGGUCUACGGACCAACGCGGUGGCCGGUUUGGGGGUCAGCGUUGAAAAUGUCCUAAUUAAUCUAAUGAUAUAUGCCUGGCGUUCUAGAUGUAAAUGUUUUUUCUUCAAAAACUUGACAAGAUUUGACUUUUUAAAAAUCUAUAUGCACGAUAGUAUGGAAUGGAGGGAGUAUAAGGCACCACAAGGAAAAGAGAGAUGAUGUCGAGGCAACACAUUAUGCCAGGGACAUCAAGAGGCGGCCACCGGACAACACCAACGGUAUGCUAAUGCGGAAAUAAACUAGGUGUAUACUUUUCAAUAACAAAUCUUAAAUGUGCUAGGCUCAACUGCACCAACAAUAAUCAACAACAUCACAACACACAUUAUGACAGAGUAAUUAAAGCUUUGAAGCAUCACAACACACAUAAUCAACAACAUUUCAAAUUCAAAUUUAAAUCCACAAUAAAUUCAAGUUAAAAUUUAAGGCUAACACCAUGCAUUUGAAACACAAACAAGAAUGCAUAAAACAUGAAUGCAUAGAGCUCUCAAAUGUCAUUGCCUCCAUUGGCAUCACUAGUGCUUGCAUGAUCUCCAUUGCUUGCAUUCUCUCCAUUGCCACCAUAGCUUCCAAUGCCAUCCAUGAAUCCUCGGCCCUUGAACAAUCCACUAGUAAUGUUGAGCUACAUACCACAAGUGAGAAAUCAAGUUAGCCACCAAUACAUACAAGAGAUGAAGAAAUAUUUGAUGAAUGCAAACAAACAGUCACCUUAUCUUUGGCAUUUUUACCUCUUAGGUUCACACGAUCAACUUAUGGCAAGCAUGCCGAUCACUUUUGACACUUCGAUGAUAUAGUUUGCCUUCAAAUUUAUGAUCGAUAGAGCCACUAGUGUUGUGCCUUGAAGUACUCAUAGAUAUGCUCCCAAUAAGUGACAUUGGUUGCUCAGCACCAAUGACCAUAUCAAGAUUGAUUUCUUCCAUGCUUGACACAACAGCUUGUCUUCUUUGGUGGUGUAGUUUGCACUUCUCUUGCUAUAGAAAAUCUUGAGAUGCAUCAACGAAGCCAUUCUCUUCCAUGUCAACAAGGUGCUCUUCUUGCGUUUCAUAUCCUUGAAAGGGCAAUUUUUAAAAUACAAAAUCUUGAGAUGCAACGUAAGUGUAUUGAAAAAAUAGUUUUGUCAUCCGUACUACAUGUAUCAAAUUUGAAGAAAAUAUAAACACAUCACAUCACAAUUGCAUAAAAAUGUAAAAUGCCAUGAAAAUCAAUGAAAAAACAAGAAAGAUUUUUUUACCGCCGAGUCAUUUCAUCGAAGACGGUGGGGACGCCGCUAGUUGUGGCGGCGGGUGAUGCCGUAUCGUCCUCGUGCGGCGGUGGGAGGGUGGGGAAGAGGCCCUAGGUGGUGCCGGAGGAGCCACUGGCAUUUGGAAGGGAUUGAUGGCGUCAGGGUCGUUGCCGUUGUCGUUGCCUUCUUUUUCGCGCGAGCAAUAGCAGUGCUCGACGGAUCCCACAACAACCGCUUCCUGGGGACCUUGUCUUCCUGCAGAUGACCUUGGAGGCGACGGCAGAGUCCUUGGGCGCAUCCCCGCCGGCCGCGGCGGCGGUUUGUGGAGGCACAAGCCCUUCGACUUGUCGCGACCAUUGCAGGGAACCACGAGAGGGACAACUACAGGUGCGGUAGGAGCAGUUGGGAGACCAACGACGUCGGUGAUCACGUCAUAGAUGCCUUCCAUUGUGUAUCAGUGGCUGGUGGCGGUCAUGGUGGGAGGCGAGUCGACGGAGAGAACUUUUAGUUCGAACGGUUUCGUUUCGCCGCAGGUUUUGGGUAGUUGCUAGUGAUCAUGUAUAUAUUUCCAUCACUUAAAGCAAUUUUUUGGGCAGGACCUAAAUUUUUAGGCACCAUUACCUAUCAUACCGUUGUUGGAGGUGCUUUUUUUGCUCCACGUGAUUUAAAAAGCAGUUUUUUUAGCAUGACCGUGUUUGUAGAGCAGUCGUUGGAGACACUCAAAUCUAAUAUAAGCCGAAUCAAGCAUGCAUGGAGCAGUACUGACUUUUAGGGGAUAUAGUGUCGGUAGUUUAGUGUGUUCUUUUAGCUAGCUAGGGAGGGACACCAGCUGUGUCUUAGUGCAUGGUUAGGGCAUCUUUAAAGCGGACCCGUAAACCUUUCGCAACCGUUCGGUCCAUGGAAAUCAUACAACGCCGAUCUGUAUCGGUCCGUGAAGCAGUUCGGAUGCGAUUUCUCCCAUAAAUCGAAGACAUGCUGGGGAAGGUUUGCGGGAGUUUGGACUGACCCCAAACCCGUUUUCUGACCGCCCUGGCCCGCCACCCCCCCACCAGCGCACGCUCCCGUCCGGUGCCAGCUGCCCGCAUUCAUAUCAUUGUAGAGCGCGCCACUCAACAUUGAAGACGGCUCAAGGCGUACGCCGCCUCUCAUUGCCUCCGCCGUUGAAGCGGCAUGCCGGCCAAGGGCACCGUCCGCGACGCGUCUCCCAUGUCCGUGUCUGUUCAAUGCCGGGGACGUGCAACUGGACGGGACAAGAGGGUUAUCUACCGCGCCCGUUCAAUGCCGAUGUCCGUCUGUCUGCCACCAUUAAGCAGACUCGCCGGCUGAGAAACCCACUUCGGCGCCGCGCAUUGACGCACCCGCACGCCUGGCCUCACCGGAAUGCGCUAUAUAAAUAUGGCCACACCUGGCUAACUCCACACCACAACACUAGCCCCUCCAUAACCUCCUCCCUUGCACUGCAUCCGCCAUGACGGCCAGCGGAAAAGCAUUGGGGGACAUUCUAUCGCCGGAGAUGAAGCACGCGGUGGCCGCCCUUGCUGCCGCCUGGCAUAGGCGCCAUGCCAGGUGGAUCGACGCUGGCUUGCCGGCCAGCUUGCCCGAGAUCUCCGAUGACGAGGACAACCACGACGGAGACGAGCUCCGACGACUCCACCCCGGCUCCCGCGCCUCUUAUGCACGCCGGCUUCACCACGGAGCAGGCGCAUGCGCAGUUCAACGCCGCCAUGGCGGAGGUGCAGCAUGCGGUGGCGCCUUUGUCGGCAUUUCAGCAGGCGUAGGAGGAACAACGGUACAACCUGUUCCUCCUGGAGCAGGAUCGAUUGACGGAAGGCCAGAUCUACGGCGAGCGCGCGAGCGAGGAGACCAUGGUGGCCAUGGCCGUGGUGAACCCAAAUUUCAUCGCGGAGCAGCUUGCCAUCUACGAUGUCGUCCGCGCUCAAGCCGUCGCUCGCCUGGAAGCGGUGGCCGCGGAGGAGAACAUAGCCAGCUGCGCCUCCUACGCGCCGCCGACGACCCAUCAGUCGGCCCGGUGGGACGAUGACAGCCAAGGCGCCACCAUUUCCCUCAUGGACCUCACGUGCACCGGCGACGGACAAGGCACGGACUCCUGCGAGGAUGAAUAGGCCACGGGAGGCGGCGGGGCCUGGUGUCCCAUGUGGGUUGGUCUAUCUUCCGUGUUCUAUUCUUCCUCGCCGGAGACCGCACCUUUACUUCAUCGGUCUUAUCGCCGGUGCUCAUGGAGACGGCGGAAGGCGGACGGCAUGGGCUUGAACGCCAGCCGCCGCCGCCGUAAGAUAGGUUAGUGGCGAGUCUUUUUUUCUUUAAAUGUUCGAAAUGUAGUUAAAUCUGCCGUGUUUGUAUGAAACCCGUCAUAUUUGUAUGAAUCCGAACGUGUCUGCAUGAAUUUCAUCCGGUUUGUUAAAAAUUAGUUUGAAAUGUAUGCGGCCCGUUGGAUGUCACACUCCCGCAUCCAUGUGAUUUCACGGCUGGGCUUGCCCAGAACGUGAAGGCAGCGUUUGGCAUAUCUGAACCCAGCAAAUCUCGACCUGCAUCCAGGAUUCAGGCGGUCUUGCACGCAGCUAAUUAGCAAUUAGGGACUCUUAAACGCCAUGAUUAGCUUUAGCUAGUAAGAGCAAGCUGCCAAGCUACUGUCAGGAUAAGGUACCAUACUACCGUCCAUCACCCACGUUACGUUAGUGUGCACAAUCUAUCAUCUUGGGAAUAGUAGUAGCUCCAUCGAUCACUUCUCGAAUACUCCUACUUGCUCUGCAUGGCGAUUGAAGCAUUCAUCAGAAGAAAAAAAUACAGCUUACAAUCUGGCAUGGUCGUCGUGGCGGUGUGAUACGCGUUUGUUGGGCCUUUUCGUAGCUGAGUAAGCUGCAGUCUGUACUUUUCCGGUGACAGUGCACGCCGGGGUCAACGGUGACGCACGUUCUAAGGUCGAGAGAGUACCGUUCCACCACGCCGUCUUUGCCGGAGACGGGAGACGAAGCCGUCCUCAUCACCACCAUGGCCGCAACUUUCUCUGGGUUUUGUCUCCGAUCGACACGUACGUUCAUUUCACCAUGCAUUUCGACCUCUCUCUCUGUCGCCCGUUUAAUUAUAUUCUACCCCGUUGGCCGCGCCAGUAAUUCCGACGUUGCGCUCAUGCCGGGAAACAUCCCACCGGACGCGAAGCCGACAUCGGCGUCGUGGAGUGCACCGGCAGCGAAAAAGGUCGGCACGGACCGCUCGUCGCUCGAUGGGCGUACGUUUCCGGCCAGAUGUUGCCCGAUUUUCGUCGCACGAGCGAGCGAACGCAUUGGACUGCAUGCUGCGGUGUCGUGCGCUCCGUGGUCAUUGAGUCUGCUCGAAAGAUCAAGCUGGCGAGGUGUCCGAGAGCCAGCCGGCUGUUCGCCGAACAGACCGCUCGAGCACCCCACCGAGAAGACGAGUGGCAUCGCUCUGUUGGGCCAUGUGUGCGCUAGCUGGUGCAACGCGGGGAACGUGAUCGGGCUAGCUAGCCAAGCGCUAAUUAGCUGUACCAUGACGAUUCAAGCUAUUUCUUCUGAACAGCAGAUUGUUAAUUAGGCACCGUUUAUUUGGUUCUGGUCGCGGAAAAUUUGUUGAUCACCACAAUGGAUAGUGGAUAGUGGUGGCUAGCGCGUUCUUCCGGACAACAAAAUCGGUAACUAAAGCUGCAUUUACUUUGCCGUCGACGAAAAUAUGUCGACGCUAAUUAACUAAGUCGACAACGUACUGCCUAGUACUACGACGUUCGGAUGGCAGCACUAGCUAGCACUCAUGGUCUACCUUUGCCUGAGGAAAGUAGGGCACCAUUUUCGCUUUGGCACACUCCACACUCCUCCAUGCAGAUUUGGCUUUUGGAACCAGUUGAUGGGGCAAGGGAAACUUUGUGCGCCGAACACGCCAUUGUAGUACAACGGGCACACCUAUUUGUCUCCUUUUCUUGUCGCUGCAAUUAUCAAGUUGGAAACGGACGAUCUUAGGCCAACUCCACCGCGCGACCCCAAACGGACGUCCGGAUUGACCCGAAUCUGUCCCUUUGGGGCGCCGAUGGAUACGCCCGUGUCCGGCUGUGUCCAUUGGGUCGUACGUGUGCCCACCGCGCGGCGGCACCUCAAAUCGUGUCCGGAGCGGACGGGAUUAAAAAUAAUAAUUAAAUAACUAAAAAAGCAAAUAAACGCAUUUUAAAAAAAACAUAAAACAUAUAUAUGGGUUGGCCACAAAACGGCCCAGUUUCAACGGCCACUUAAAAGGCCCAGAUUCAUAAUUAACAUAAUAAGAAAAUAAAGAAAACUCCUCCCACGCGCUCCUGCCGCGCCCGUCGGUGCCGUGGCCGUCCCAGUCUUCACUGGCCGCCGGUGUCGUCGUCGUCGCUGACGAGGUCGACGUACUCCGGCGGCGUCCAGAGGUGGGCCGGCGGUGCGUGGUGGACGGGGACGGGCUGGACGGCCGGAGGUGCCUGCACCACCUCCUCCCGCGGCGACGCCUCCCGCUCCGGAGUGGGGUACCAGUUCACGCCCAGGUGGGCGGCCGACGAGCUCGAGGAGGAGUCGGGCUAGGGUUUCUGCGCUGUCGGAGUUCGAGGAGGCCGCUGGGUGGCGUGGGGCAGUGUGGACGACGACCCGUCCACGCUUCCCACUUAAAAAAGGACGGCGACCGCUCGACGUGCGGAUGACAUGUGGGGCCGCCCACUCGUGCGCAUUGAUGUGGGUGGGUGGGAGGUGGGUGGCCGCCUGCCACGCGGCCCCGACGCGGACGAGCGCGCGUCCGUUUGGUGUCCGCCGCGACCCAAACCCGGCGUAAGUUUGCGCUCGAAAUGGAUCGGCCCGGACACAAAACGGACAAGAUGGGUCCGGGCCGUCGCGCGCCGGGCCGCCUCCUUUGUCCGUUUUACGCCAAACGGACAUGACCGGACAGGAUAGGGUCGCGCGGUGGAGUUGGCCUUAUCUCCAACAUCGAUCUUGGGGCGUGAUCCGAUUAGAAAAAAUCUAUAGUGCGUCACCGCAAGGAAUGAAGUUGUUGCGGCGACGUACUGCUACUUGCAAAUUUUAAUCGAUAACUUUGCAUAGGCAACUACCAGCAUAUGAUACAUAUAUAUUCCCCGCAAAUGUAAAAUGAGAGGAAAAUGGAAGCCUACUGUAGUCAGCACGGCACUGCCGAGCUUGCACGGGACAAAACGCAAGGAGAUUUCUUCCCGGGACUUUGUUGUAAUACUAAUUAAUUAAGGCUCCAAAGUACCAUGGCAUAAAGAUAAGGCUUGUUUAUAAUCAUUAUGAAAAUUGGACUAGCUAGAUUCUGCAUUACGAGCUGUUGCGUUGCAGUCGCUGGACCGGAUGGAUUUCGUGGGAAACGUCACACUUCCUCGGAUCCUUCCUGCCCCGAUUGAUCGAUGAUCUACUACUACAACAAACAAUUAGUUUUGUCCACAAUUUCAAGGAAAAUUAAUUUUCUCCAUACGGAGUACAAGUUGGGUGCGACGAGCGACGUCGGCGUCUGCAUCAGAGCAUGACUUAGACUACCCACAAUGGAAGUAACAUAGAUAGUAACAUCACACAUAUCUAGAUAAAAUAGAUGAUGUGACAAGCAAUAAAUAAAGAAAGAGAGAAAAGUGGUAACAUAGCUACUCCUUCCUUUCCGGUUUAUAGAGCUCAAUUCAAAAAUUUCACCAACCAAGGUAGAUAAUGAGUGGUGGAAUCUUUUUUGUAAUUUGCAAAAGCACCCAAUUAAUGCUCUUGUUUUCUUCAAAAAUGUAUGUUUACCAAUGUAUUAAUUGCAAUGCAUGCAUGCAUAAAGUACAUGCAUUGGUCAAUUUUCUGUUAAUACCUGCAUGCAAUUAUUUAAUGCACCUUGGAAUCUAAACUUGUGAUGGGGAACAACCAAAUUGAGCCUUAUAAAAUGAAAAAACUAAGAUUUUGAGAUAAGCCCUAUAAACCGGAAAGGAGGGAGUAGUUACUACUAAUAGUAGUAACAUCACAUAUAUCAAGGCAAGAUGCGUCCAUAGCCUAAUAAAUGAAGAGUUGCAUGUUACCACACAUAUGUUACUCCACACUAUAGAGGUAGUAACAUAGGCUAGUAACAUGUCGAUGUUACUACUCUAUGUUACUAUCCAUUGUGGCUAGUCUUAUUUUGUGCCAGUGUGCCGUGUUGUUAAUGGCAUUGGCUGGCUGUUCGUUAUUGCUAAUUGUAUGUAUACAUCAUGAUGAUGGCAUUACUUCCGUCACGAUGAUUCUGCAUGCUGACGGCAAGCACGAACAUCCACCAAAAAGGUUGGCCUAUACGACGCUCGUGUAUGUUUUGAGACUUCGCUGAAGGCUCCUCUAGGCGAGUCGGCCCAUGUAACAGCUGUUAUGUUUCUCUUUGUCUUCUUUUUCUAUUUUAUGAUAUGAGGUUUUCCUUUUUUUAGGUUUUUUAAUAGUUGCAAUUUUUUUAAUAUAGGCUGAACUUUUUUGAUAUAUGCUAUUUUUUUAUAAUACACACUGAACUUUUUUAUUAUACAGUGAACAUGUUUUAUAUAAUUUAUUUUUUAUAUACAUUUGAUAUAGAUGAUGAACUUUUUAAGUUAUAUGUCAUAUUAAUAUAAUACACCCUGAACAUUUUUUUAAUAUAGAUAAAACUUCUUUUAAUAUACACUCUAGUUUUUAUAAAACAAAUACUGAACAAUUUUAUAAACUGUAUUUUUAUUUUUAAUAGGUUUUACAAUAUAUACCUCCUAAAAAACAACCAAUUUUUGGUGAGAAAGCGAUAAAGGUAUGUAUCGUAAGGAGUAGCUGGCAUUAUUUGGUGAAGCGCCGAAUAGGAGCUCCCGGCACAUAGCGGCCCCGCGGUCAACAGCGGUACUUUCCACAUGGGCCACAACCCUCUACCACGGUUAAUUUUUCUGUUUUUUCCCCAGUUUUUGUUUUCUUUUUCUGGUCUUGCUUUCGUUAUUUUUUCUCGGUUUUUUCUCAGGUUCAUUUUGUUGUCCUUUUGUUUUUUAAUGAUUUUUCAAGUUUCCUUUCUUCUAAGCUUCAUUUUGUUUUUGUUUUAUAUUUUUCUUGUCUCAGUAGAAAACAAUAGUGCAUUGAACACUUCUUGAAAAAUAGGGGGAAAAUAUUAGCGCAUUGAACAAUUUCUAAUUACAUGAUUUGUUUUUCAAAAGCACUUCAUAUAUUUUUUUAUACAUGAAAAUAUAUUAUAAUUUUUUUGCAAAUACAUGUUGAAGAAAUUCUAAACAAUUUUUUUUUGAGAAUUUUAUCAUUCAUAUCACGAAUAAGUACAAAGUAGUCGACCCUUACAAUCACACUGAAACACAAACAUAAAGGACCAUGAACACUUAAAGUACCCUAAGACAAUCAUAACGCAAGAAGAUCUCCGGAGCCCUGUGUCAUCACCCCUAAAUCUUGAGAGAAGACCCCUGCAGCAGAAGAAUCUGCAAGCAGUCGCAAGCAGGUCAUCAUCUUCGACCUCGGUACAACUGCCGCCACGCUGCUUCCUCCUUUCUUGACACCAGCGCUGAGAGGGCAUGGACAUCAAUCCAACAUAUCUGCAACAGCCGUCGCCAUCUAUGGCUUUGAGUACCGCAAAAAGUGUCCCUUCCGGAAGGAAGAGAACUCGAGUCAUCCGACCGGUCCAGCACCGCGGCCGGGCCAUCCGCCCGGGCAAAGCAAGAUCUCCCGCCAGCAUCAGCGCAGAGGAAGGAGAAAAACAACAGCAGCAAAUCAUACCAACAAGGAAGAAGAAAGGUCUUCGUCUCCCUGCAUCCAUCGCCCAUCUGAGGACCCAAACGGCCAGUGCCGAUGGACCUCCAGCUACCAUAGCCCGCGACCUCGACGAAAUCCGGGGAUCCCCAACCCCGCUGGUUCCUAGACGAAAGCAAAAGCCUCGCCUGACCGUGAACGGAGGCCGGAGAAACUUAUUCUGACGCGACACCACCGCAACGGCCUCGGCAGCGUCUCCCUCAACCCUAACCCUACGACACACCCACCUAGCGAACAGACCCGAGGUUCCCCCUCCCUCCCGCCGCCGGAGCGACCGACGGAGAGAGAGGGAACCGGCGGCGUCACCGGCGGCGCGCAGGAACCCUCGUCG